AACAGGCUGUGUUCUCCUCACACAACGUCCGCCACCCCUAACCACGCCUCAGGGCGCCCCAGCCUGGCACCCGGUCGAGGCAGAUCCUGUUCUCGACGUCACGGCCUUUGGGUACAGGCACCCCAGAAACGCGCACGGGAGACCUGGGCGUGCUCAGGGCCCGAAGGACCUUCGGUCUCGAUGCCGUCCUACUCACAUCGGUCUCGCUUUUGAACAUCAAGGGCACGGAAGACUUAUCCAGUGGGAAACCCAUAAUCUGCACUCUCUCUCCUUGUCUCCCUUCUGUGUACCAACUACCACGCUAAACACCAAGGACACAAGUUCAACUUAAGGCAUGGGCCUCAGGGACCUUGAGCUGUGCUCUCCAAACUAUGUACAGACCAUCAAGAAUCAGUCAAAAGGGCCAAGUCCAAGAUGAAAUUCCUGAGAAAACUGAACGGCCUGGCACAGGAGAGGGAGCAUCUGAAAACGCCCGGCAGUGAGCCCAGCAGUGGGAGGAGGACAGACCGCACUGCUCCUGGAGGGAUGCGGCUGCACGUCCACCCCCAGGGACUUGUGAGCCCACGUUACGCUAAGUCAAAACCCCACGGAAUGCUCACUUUGCAUCGUGAAGGCAGAAAAGCACAGCAUUGUUGAAAACCAUUGUGCGUUACGUUUACACGAACCCAUCCGAAGCCUCCCUAAGCCCCUGUAGGACGUACUGUGAACUGUUUGCCCCUCUGGACCGGGCUGCAGACUCACGCCUCUGUUUGGGGCAGGGGGUGGGCAGAGAGCCUGUCUUUGAGAAGGACCCUUUCCAAGAGGGUCAUCAGGUCCACGUCCGCUCACACUGUGCCUCUGAUGAGGAACUGAGCUAUGCACAGACAAUGACUUUAUUUACAGUAACACAUUCUGGGUGGCUUCUGUGUUAGUCUCAUCCGGCUGCUGAAACAAAAUGCCACAGAGUGGCCUCAACAGCAGACAUGUGCUUCUCCCAGUGCUGGGGGCUGGAAGAUUCGAUCCUGGGGUAGCCCACACCUGGGGGCUGUCUUUUCACUGUGUCCUCACGUGGCCAAGAGUGGUCUCGCUUCCUCCCCUCAUGGACGACAAUGCCCUCCUUGGGGUCCCACCCCCACGGCCCCACUGACAUCCAAUCACCUCCGAAGGCUUCCACAUACCUUCAGUCCCACAGGGGGUGAGGGCUUCCUUGGGUGAAGGUGGGGGCGGGACGAAAUGUACCAGGGACAAACGCUGUAGCAGAAUCACCAGAGCCCUCUGCAACAGUCGCCUGGCCACAGACAUUCAGUCGUUCGUUGACAAACACUUCUGGCCCACCAGGUUCAUUAUACUGCUUCGGACACAAGCAACCUGGACACUCUUCUACGAAAAGUCACGGCCUCCUACAGGCCUUAAAAUGAACGCCCUUAACCAGGCCUAUCACAACAUUUGAAGUCCAGCUUUGGUACUUUUCCUAAUCAUCGCUCCCCACUUUCCCUUCCUUUCUCUCACCCCCUUCUAAGGUGCCCCCCACCGGUGAGCAGCGCUGCCUCCUUGUGCCCGCAUACACCCACCCCCAUAGCCCCCACUCCGACACAAGCACUCAGAUGGGGCCGGGCCGCCCUCACUGUGCAGCCCGUGGAGAUGCUGGCGCUUGGGCCAGAUCUCAGGACGGGCAGAGUGGCCGUGGGAGGGCCAGUGGGCGCCGAGGCUGCAGGGCCAGCUGGGCCAGAAGCAGUCUAGGAGACGCCUACACCUGGCACUUGGGCAGGGAUAGACAAUCUUAUAUUUUACAAGGUUCAUAGGCAGUUACACAUCCAUUUUCUUACAAAGGGGGGGUCAAGUCUAAAUAGUUUAAAGACCUUUUCAUCUAAGGUAACUCUGAGGGCAUGUGAGUAAUGCAAGGACAGAGUUUAAGCUCCCUGCCUCUCCCUCCAGAGUAUGCUCAGAAGGUUGGUCGAUAUCUCUCUUGGUCACUACUUGCACAGAAGGGUCUCACCCACAUCUCUCUCAUGCUCCCCCCGAAACAAUUUUCAAGCACGUACUGGAAGUCCAUGACACAGCAGACAGCCAUCUGGCCCCUGAGCCAGGCAGACAUGUGUGCCUGUGUGUGCCCGUGUGCAUACCCACGUGAGCAUGCCUGUGUCCGUGUGUGUGCACGUGCGCUUUCCUGUGUGUGUUUUCGUGCAUGUGCUGGGAAGGGGGACCUGGCGGGACAGGGCGAGGGAGCUGUGUUCCCAAACCUAGGCAGUGCCUCAGCUCUGAUACUGACACACCCCUCGGGACUCGGGGACGCAGCACCGGUGACAUCUUAAACCAGGAAUCCCUUUCACCCACAGCAGACAGAGUAUAAAAAUAUCUCCAGCAGGCGUCUUUCCUGAAAGUGGGAGGCAGUUCACUUUUAAAUGCUGCCUAUUUAAAUCAGACUGUGUCCACUGGAGGAGGCUGGGUUUUUAACUUCCCCGAGGUUCAUUUCCCAGGGUCCCAGGGAGGAAGGGGCGCCCAGUUGCCUGCAGGAGCCCAGAGGGAAGUGUUGACGUCUCUGUCCUCCUGAGGAGGCGGGAGGUGGACAGAGGGGCGGACGGAGGGAAGGUGAAGUUCUCCUCUGGCCUGGAUGCCAACUGCGCUGGUGAGGCCCGGGGCCAGCCCGGCAGCUGGCUGUCCAGCCAGUGACGCCUCCCGAGAGAGCCCCCGCCCACCCGGCUCCGGCUUCCUGCCACAGCCCCUGGGGCACCUUGUCCACUCCUCAACCGGCCUUAUUUUCAAGCCACCCAAAAAUAACAGCAUUUGAUACCAGGCCUCUGAAGGCUUUGGCUGGGGUCAUGUUUCCAAAUUCUUGACUUCAGGAUUGUAAAUGAGAACCCUUUUUUUUUUUUUUCCAGCCGGGCUAUUUUUUCCCUCUUUUUUUUUUUCCUCAAGAUUUUGGGAGAACCCCAACCAAGGAAUCAGUGCUUAAUGGGUCACAGGGUAUGAAUAGUAGUGUUGAGACAUAACACAGGACUCUUUGUACUAUCAGGCAACUGAACCUAAAAAAAAAAAAAGGAAGAAAGCUUCCAAACAGAGCAGCGAGCAUACCAGCAGGGGCUCCGCGUGGGAGAGCGGCUUCGCUGAGCACAGGCCCCUUCUAUAUUUGUCCACUACCGACAUCUAUUUACGGCCCGGCUGCGCCCACAGGCGCCCUCCUCAUCCAAUCGGGGCUCACAGAAAGCCAUUCCACAUAGAUUUUUGUGCCCCUGGUAGUUGUUAGUAGGCACAAAUUCAGCAAAGAAAGUGAGUAUUGAAGUACAAAUCCUGAACUCUGGGUUCGUGGCCCGAGUCCCCGAGCUCUGCCCAGCCCUCUCUUUAUCGACCUGCAGUGAGUGGGGACAAACACAGCCGGUCACUCCCAGUUGGCCUCAGGGGCCUGUGACGCUUUGAAAAUUAAGGUACAAUCUCAGGGCUUCUUUCCUUUGAGGCAGUGUCUAAGCGUGGGAUAGUAUCCUAAUUAAACGGCAUUUUCCUCGUGCGGUCAGUUCUUUGGUGAAGUUGUGUGAAAUGAUCCAAAGUAUCUGUGAAUUCGUUACCAGUCAUUCUAAGUGGCGGCCUGGACGGAUCCUGAAAACUGGCCGAUGGAGGCAGGCCUGGUGGUGUGUGUGUGUCUGGGUGAUGACGGCAGGCCUUGGGUGAUGUCACAAAGCCUUGGGUGACCACCCAGAGAUGCCCAUUGUUACAAGACGAUGAGAUGGACCAGCUCAAACACGAGCACUACCCCGUCUUCCAUGGAAGCGUUCAGGCCGAAGGCCGUGUGACCGAGCAGCUGACAAGUGCAAUAGUUCUCAGAAUUCUGUGGCUCAGAAUAUGUGCUGGCUACUGAGAACGGGGUUUGUAGAAAUAGUUCAGGUUACAAGCCUACUGGGCAGAAACUCGAACUCCUGGCGCUGGCAACACGCCCCGGGCUGUCAGGGGUGGGCCAAGGUUCUGGCCACUCAGUGUCCUAUGUUUAAAUUCUGAGCCUGUAAGCAAAAAAAGUGUUGGAAGGGUUCCCUUACCUUUGGAAACUGCAAAAUAGAAUCUCCUUUGGCCAAGAGCCCCUUUCUUUGUGGGCUUUCCUGCAGGCUUGCUGGGCGGGAUUUACCUCUGGCUGCCAUGUUCCCUCCUCCACCUCCAUCUUUUGGUGGGUGGUGUUUGUGUGUGUGCGGAGGGGGGGCGGGGGUACUGUAGGGUUAACUCUUGUUUAAGCCGUCAGACUAACCAAAAAUUAAAACAAAACCACGGGUGGCCAAGUGGGGUCCACGCUGUGCCCUGGAGGCACCCCAGAGGGGGUUCUCCCCCUCAGUGAGGUUUAGUAUUUCAGUAGCUGGUGUCUGAGUCAGGUUGCCGUGCAGAGCAGCAAAGAAGGCGCAGGCAGCACCGCCUGGUCCUAGCAGAGCUCGGGGGCGGCCCCGCUCUGGAGCCGAGGACCGUGCACCGAGCACGCACCCGGUCGCUGAGGCCGUGCCCAGCCCUUUAUACAUGUAUCCCAGUGUGCGCAGACCCCGGGGGAGACCGCUGCUGUUCUCACGCCCAGCCUCCGUCAGGGAGAAGAGCCUUAUGAAUAACUGUUCGAGAUUACCUACCUAGGUACACUGUGGAGGCUGAAUCUGAACCCACACUUUUUCAUGUUAAUAUCUAGGCUAGCGCUGCUGGUGUGGCUCAGUACGUUGGGCACUGUCCUACAAACUGAAAGGUCACAGGUUCGAUUCCCAGUCAGGGCACAUGCCUGGGUUACGGGCCAGGUCCCUCCCUGGAUUGGGAGCGUGUGAGAAGCAACUGAUUCAUGCUUCUCUCACAGUUGAUGUUUCUCUCUUUCUUUUUCUUCCUCUCUUCCCCCUCUCUCUAAAAAUAAAUAAAAUCUUUUUUUUUAAAUCUAGACUAAUAC